rnacentral:SRP_RNA from 13 species
GCCGGGUACGGUGGCGCGUGCCUGUAAUCCAAGCUACUGGGAGGCUGAGGCUGGCGGAUCGCUUGAGCUCAGGAGUUCUGGGCUUCAGCGGACUAUGUCGAUCGGGUGUCCGUACUAAGUUCGGUAUCGAUAUGGUGCUCCUGGGGGAGCCCGGGAUCACCAGGUCGCCUAAGGAGGGGUGCCCCGGCCCAGGUCGGAAACGAAGCAGGUCAAAGCCCCCGUGCCGCUCAGUAGUGGGAUCGCGCCCGUGAAUAGACGCUGUAGUUCAACCUGAGUAACACAGCGGGACUCAGUCUUU